UACGGUGACUAUUGCAAGAAGGAUCCACCUGUUCCCAUGCCGAACACAGCCGUUAAGCUUCUUUGCGCCGAGGAUAGUGAGGGGUUUCCCCUUGUGAAAGCCGGACGUUGCCGUUC
rfam:Atopostipes suicloacalis DSM 15692 genome assembly, contig: EJ15DRAFT_scaffold00038.38